GACGGGGGGUCCUAGCGUUGUUCGGAAUUAUUGGGCGUAAAGCGUGUGCAGGUUGUUUGAAAAGUUGGAUGUGAAAUCCCCGGGCUUAACCUGGGAACUGCAUUUGUGACUGCAUGACUAGAGUACGGUAGAGGGGGAUGGAAUUCCGCGUGUAGCAGUGAAAUGCGUAGAUAUGCGGAGGAACACCGAUGGCGAAGGCAAUCCCCUGGACCUGUACUGACGCUCAUGCACGAAAGCGUGGGGAGCAAACAGG
rnacentral:rRNA from 1 species